rnacentral:rRNA from 1 species
GAUGAACGCUGGCGGCGUGCCUAAUACAUGCAAGUCGAGCGCACAGAGGUGGUGCUUGUUCCUCUGACGUUAGCGGCGGACGGGUGAGUAACGCGUGGAUAACCUACCUUUGAGACUGGGAUAACUUUGGGAAACCGGAGCUAAUACCGCAUAAUAUCUUUAACCACAUGGUUUAAUUGUGAAAGACGGUUUUGCUGUCCCUUAAAGAUAUAUCCCCGACGCAUUCGCUGGUUGUGAGGGUAACGGCUUCCCAAGGGAACGAUGCUAACCGGCCAUAAGAGGGUGAUCGCCAAAACUGGAACGGAGACACGGUCCAGACGCCUACGGGAGGCAGAAGAGGGGAAUCUUCGGAAAGGGGGGAAAGCCGAACGGAGCAACGCGGCGUGAGUGAUGAAGUUCUUCGGACCGUAAAACUCGGUUAUUAGGGAAGACGAAAUGUGGAAGUAAAUAUGCACCUAUUGACGGUACCUAAUCAGAAAGCCACGGCUAACUACGUG